GGCGUAGGUACUUGUUGAAAAGCCAAUCUUCUGAUGACGAUAAUGAAAAAAACAUUUCACGUUUUAAAAAAAUCUUCGAUGCUGAGAAUGAAGUCCCUAAAGUAGAAAGAUCCAACAGUGGCUAUGAUGCAGUAGUAGAAUCAGCUCGUCCUGCCUUUACCUCAAAGUUCAACUCGGAACAUCAUGAAGUUGGAUACGAAGAACUGUCAGCAGGCGUGGACGUGUUGAGAAUGGAGUGUGUGCCAAAGAAUUACUUGAUCGAUGACAAUAAUAGAGUCGGAAAGAAGGAACUCUCUUGGCAUGGUCAAGUCACAUUGAAGGUCUAAAAUUCCGAUAUAUCUUUCUUUUAGGAGAGCGAUCUCCAUAACUUUAUCGAUAUCUUAUUCUUGAUUCCCUUUUCGUUUCCCUCCUUGUUGCCUCGGUGAAACACACUAACUUGGAGCAUGCAAUAUAUGAAGUUGUCUA
rnacentral:misc_RNA from 1 species